CAUCAACAUUAUGUACAAAGUAAGUUACAAACAAUGUGAAAAAACACACAAAAUAGCACAAUUGGUUAGGAGCCCGUUAAACGGCAGCCAUUGACCUUUGAUCAGUGCUUAGAGGGUCGUCUUGGUGUGUGUGAGUCAUUUUGGCAUUUGGGAUUGUUCACUGGGUGUUCAUACAGUACUGUCUGGUAUCAACAACCGAUGCAAUAUACUCCCUCAUUCUGUUAAACUGACUAGCCUCGCCCUCGGGGCUACUGUCAUUCAAAUCAUUAUUACAUUAAGAGCAUUUCAUUUCUUUUUUAAUCCUGUGCUUUGUUUACGUGAAAUGGGGAGUACAUUUUCUUUCAACUCCCUGAGAUAUUAUUGACCUGAGAGAGAAAAUCAUAGGUGCUCAAUGCAUUUCAUACCGACAAGCUUUUGUGUUGUUAUAGAUGUGAAACAAACUACUUGCCGGGAUGCCAUUCUGUUCUAGCAUUAGUCUGCCCAGACUAUGCUGCAGGUUGUCUAAUGCUAAAACAGACUGCCAUUUUUGCUAUUAAACCACUUUAAGCACUGCUGCUGUGUGAUCUCAGGAUGUUGUGUGCAGCACUGACAUGUACACAACUCUUCUGUUGUCUGUUGAUUUAAGUAUUAACACAGUGACUUGGUAUUUGUCUGGUGAUUAUCUGCUCAUGUACUUACUCCUCUCUGUAUAUCCAACUCUUGUCUUGCAGCUGGUCCCAAUUUGCUCCCUACCACUAUGCCCUUGGUCCUAACCAGUAUGUGGACCUGACCCAGAUCUGUAAGGUGUACGCAAUAUGGUGUACGCUCCACCACUACACUGCUUAUACCUUUCCAAAGCCUUCGGAUCCUCAGACAUCAAUGGGUUAGGGCCAAGGGGAGGGCUAUGGAGCACAUUGCGACCAACUGUUACUCUGAGCAAGUCCUCACUGACUAUCUGAUCUAGUUUCACACAAUUCAGCUGUCACUCCGGGUCAUCUUAAUGUGAAUUUGUUCAUUCCUCAACUGUGGGAAAUGUGAAAAGCCUUGUAACAUCACUUCUCAAGUUUGUUUAUACCAAUUAAAAGUUUUGAAUUUA